UGUGGGAGCGGGCUUGCCCGCGAUGACGGCCGUUCAGUCGAAAAGGAUGUCGUCUGACGAUCCGCCAUCGCGGGCAAGCCCGCUCCCACA
rnacentral:misc_RNA from 1 species